CAAAUCCGUCCCGCGCCUUGCAAAUAAUUUUCGCUCUGUCUCCCGGAAAAAUUAGGAGUCCGCCGCCCCUCCUAAGUUAUUGGGAUGAACGUGUUUAUGGAAUGAAUAUGUUGUGCUUUGUUUUCGCCAUCCAUGUCAGGUGCGUGUAGAGGGUUCUAAGAGUGAGGAGCUUGCUGCCGCAUCAAGACUUGAGGAUGAUGUUAGUUUUUAUCAAACUGUGAAUCCUAAUUUU